UGGGGAAUUUUGGACAAUGGGGGCAACCCUGAUCCAGCCAUCCCGCGUGUGCGAUGAAGGCCUUCGGGUUAUAAAGCACUUUUGGCAGGGAAGAAACAGCCUGGGCUAAUAUCCCGGGCGACUGACGGUACCUGCAGAAUAAGCACCGGCUAACUACGUGCCAGCAGCCGCGGUAAUACGUAGGGUGCAAGCGUUAAUCGGAAUUACUGGGCGUAAAGCGUGCGCAGGCGGUUCGGAAAGAAAGGUGUGAAAUCCCAGGGCUUAACCUUGGAACUGCACUUUUAACUACCGGGCUAGAGUACGUCAGAGGGGGGUAGAAUUCCACGUGUAGCAGUGAAAUGCGUAGAGAUGUGGAGGAAUACCGAUGGCGAAGGCAGCCCCCUGGGAUGAUACUGACGCUCAUGCACGAAAGCGUGGGGAGCAAACA
rnacentral:rRNA from 1 species